CAGAUCAAGUCGGGAUUGAACCAACGAUGCUUCAGCUUCAGAGCUGCUGUCUGACACAGUGAGCUAAAGACCGACGGGGCUCAGCCGCUCACAGUUCAACUCACAUCUUUAACAAAGUCAGAAAAAGUCACCAGCAGAGGGGGUCACACCCCACACCCCCAAAAACUGCUGCUAGCCACAGACACUCAGCAGGGCCGCCCUGUUCUUCAUCUUUACACCAUUUCAACUCCAACCACGACGUCAGCUGAUCUUCUCUCUGCAGAGAUGCUGGGUCCCCCAUGACAGAGCCGCUGCCAUGGGAUCAAACUACCACCCCCCCCCCCCCCAGCCUUUUUCUUUGGAGUAAAGGCAGAGCUACUGAUGAGCUGCUCAGUGUGGAGAUGAAGCAGUGUGUGGAGCAGCUGGCCUGUAGGGGGCAGUACACAGCAGGAACCAAGACUGAUGUCAGUGUUGCUUGACUGGUGUGGAGAACUGGAGUCCACCUGCUGGGAUGUGACCAGGCACUUCUGCUCAGCCUGAGUUUGA